UACGAGGGGUGCAAGCGUUGCUCGGAAUUAUUGGGCGUAAAGAGCUCGUAGGCGGUCUGUCGCGUCGGCUGUGAAAACCCGGAGCUCAACUCCGGGCCUGCAGUCGAUACGGGCAGACUGGAGUUCGGCAGGGGAGACUGGAAUUCCUGGUGUAGCGGUGAAAUGCGCAGAUAUCAGGAGGAACACCGGUGGCGAAGGCGGGUCUCUGGGCCGAUACUGACGCUGAGGAGCGAAAGCGUGGGGAGCGAACAGG
rnacentral:rRNA from 1 species